UUGGAGGGCAAGUCUGGUGCCCGCAGCCGCGGUAAUUCCAGCUCCAAUAGCGUAUAUUAAAGUUGUUGCAGUUAAAAAGCUCGUAGUUGAACCUUGGAUCUGGCUGGCCGGUCCGCCUCACCGCGAGUACUGGUCCGGCUGGACCUUUCCUUCUGGGGAACCUCAUGGCCUUCACUGGCUGUGGGAGGAACCAGGACUUUUACUGUGAAAAAAUUAGAGUGUUCAAAGCAGGCCUUUGCUCGAAUACAUUAGCAUGGAAUAAUAGAAUAGGGCGUGUGGUUCUAUUUUGUUGGUUUCUAGGACCGCCGUAAUGAUUAAUAGGGAUAGUCGGGGGCGUCAGUAUUCAGCUGUCAGAGGUGAAAUUCUUGGAUUUGCUGAAGACUAACUACUGCGAAAGCAUUCGCCAAGGAUGUUUUCAUUAAUCAGGGAACGAAAGUUAGGGGAUCGAAGACGAUCAGAUACCGUCGUAGUCUUAACCAUAAACUAUGCCGACUAGGGAUCGGACGGGAUUCUAUAAUGACCCGUUCGGCGCCUUACGGGAAAC
rnacentral:rRNA from 1 species